rnacentral:lncRNA from 1 species
UGCUUGUUAGUAGGAACCUACAUUAAACAUCUCUACGAAGUGCAAGAGAGAAGCAGUUUUAUUUGCAUAUGGAUUUAAAACAAUAUACACACCAAAGCAAACGUACCUUUAGCUGUCUUAGGCUUUCCAAGAUUUUAAAGAAGAAGUAUCCUUUUGGUAUACUCAAAUGGGAACGUAGUCAUUUGCAGUCUCAAGCCUCACAGGAAAGGAAGUUGGGUUCUCUAACACACGUGGGUGAACGUCAGAACUAUGGGCACACUGACGAACUGCUGCACCCUGAGUUCUGCUGGUUGGGUGCAGGAAGCAUAGCAACAAGGAAAUGCCUAGCUCAGGAAGGGGGCCAAGUGUUACUUGCCUGUGGGUCAUGUGCUGGUACUAAAUGCUGGUUUCAUUCU